GUAGGGAAUAUUGCACAAUGGGGGAAACCCUGAUGCAGCGACGCCGCGUGAGUGAUGAAGGCCUUCGGGUCGCAAAGCUCUGUCGUAUGGGACUAACACAAUGAAGGUACCAUGCAAGAAAGGAUCGGCUAACUUCGUGCCAGCAGCCGCGGUAAGACGAGGGAUCCUAGCGUUGUUCGGAAUCAUUGGGCGUAAAGCGGGUGUAGGCGGAUUUAUAAGUCAGGUGUGAAAUCCCAGGGCUCAACCCUGGAAGUGCACUUGAUACUGUAAAUCUUGAGUGUGGUAGAGGUUACUGGAAUUGUUGGUGUAGUGGUGAAAUACGUAGAUAUCAACAGGAAUACCGGAGGCGAAGGCGAGUAACUGGGCCAACACUGACGCUGAGACCCGAAAGCGUGGGGAUCAAACAGGAUUAGAAACCCUUGUAGUCC
rnacentral:rRNA from 1 species